rnacentral:rRNA from 1 species
CAAUAGCGUAUAUUGAAGUUGUUGCGGUUAAAAAGCUCGUCGUUGGAUUUCUGUUGAGGUCGAACAGUGCCGCCCUAUGGGUGCGCAACUGGCUCGGCUUCGGCAUCUUCUUGGAGAGCGCAUCUGCACUUAACUGUGUGGAUCGUACUUCAAGUCAGUUACUUUGAGGAAUUGUGAGUGUUUCAAGCAGGCUUACGCCGUUGAAUCCGUUAGCAUGGAAUAAUAGGAUAGGACCUCGGUUCUAUUUUGUUGGUUUUGAGAGCUGGGGCAGCGAUUGAUAGGGACGGAUGGGGGCGUCCGAACUUUACUGUCAGAGGUGAAAUUCUUAGAUCGGCCAAAGGCGAACUACUGCGAACGCAUUCGCCAAGAAUGUUUUCUUUAA